rnacentral:rRNA from 1 species
AUUGAACGCUGGCGGCAUGCCUUACACAUGCAAGUCGAACGGCAGCACGGGUGCUUGCACCUGGUGGCGAGUGGCGAACGGGUGAGUAAUACAUCGGAACAUGUCCUGUAGUGGGGGAUAGCCCGGCGAAAGCCGGAUUAAUACCGCAUACGAUCUACGGAUGAAAGCGGGGGACCUUCGGGCCUCGCGCUAUCGGGUUGGCCGAUGGCUGAUUAGCUAGUUGGUGGGGUAAAGGCCUACCAAGGCGACGAUCAGUAGCUGGUCUGAGAGGACGACCAGCCACACUGGGACUGAGACACGGCCCAGACUCCUACGGGAGGCAGCAGUGGGGAAUUUUGGACAAUGGGCGAAAGCCUGAUCCAGCAAUGCCGCGUGAGUGAAGAAGGCCUUCGGGUUGUAAAGCACUUUUGUCCGGAAAGAAAUCCUUGGCCCUAAUACGGUCGGGGGAUGACGGUACCGGAAGAAUAAGCACCGGCUAACUACGUG